rnacentral:rRNA from 1 species
UACGUAGGGUGCGAGCGUUGUCCGGAAUUACUGGGCGUAAAGAGCUCGUAGGCGGUUUGUCGCGUCGUUCGUGAAAUCUUGAUGCUUAACAUCAAGCGUGCGGGCGAUACGGGCAGACUUGAGUACUACAGGGGAGACUGGAAUUCCUGGUGUAGCGGUGAAAUGCGCAGAUAUCAGGAAGAACACCCGUGGCUAAGGCGGCUCUCUGGAACGCAACUGACGCUGAGACGCGAAAAGCGUGGGGAGCAAACAGG